ACCCGUAAUCUACCCAGUUUUCGUAUCCAAAACGGAUAUCUGCGUUAAUUUUGGAGCUAAUACGUGCACCAACGUGCUGCUAGCAAUAGUGGCACGCACUUAUUAGAUCAAGGCCGAUUGGGGCAACCCUUUUGGUGACUCUGAAUAAUUUUGCGGAUCGUAUGGUCUUGUACCGACGACGUACUGGUCGAGCGGGUGCCCUAUCAACUAUUGAUGGAAGUCUAUGUGUCUUCCAUGGUUGUAACGGGUAACGGAGAAUAAGGGUUCGACUCCGGAGAGCUAGCCUUAGAAACGGCUAUCACAUCCAAGGAAGGCAGCAGGCGCGUAAAUUACCCACUCUCAAUUCGAGGAGGUAGUGACUAUCAAUAACGAGACAGAUCUCUUUGAGGUCUGUCAUUGCAAUGAGCACAACUUAAAGACUUUAACGAAGUCUAUGGGAGGGCAAGUCUGGUGCCAGCAGCCGCGGUAAUUCCAGCUCCCAACGUGUAUAUCGUCAUUGCUGCGGUUAAAAAGCUCGUAGUUGGAUCUUAGCUCAUGUCGGUAGUUCUCCAUGUGAGAUACUGCUCGGCUGAGCUGUUUCGCCGGUUUUCCGUAGUUUCGGCUGCGGUGACUGGUGUUGUAACUUUGAUUAAAUCAAUGUGAUUAAAACAGGCGUUUGCUUGAAUGCUUUAUCAUGGAAUAAUAGAAUAUGACUUCGGUCCAUUCUGUUGGUCUUGGGAUCGAAGUAAUGAUUAAAAGGAACAACUCGGGGGCAUCCGUAUCG
rnacentral:rRNA from 1 species